GCACAAGCGGUGGAGCAUGUGGUUUAAUUCGACGCAACGCGAAGAACCUUACCUGGGCUCGAAAUGUAGUGGAAUCCGGUGGAAACAUCGGCGCCCAGCAAUGGGCCGCUAUAUAGGUGCUGCAUGGCUGUCGUCAGCUCGUGUCGUGAGAUGUUGGGUUAAGUCCCGCAACGAGCGCAACCCUUGUUACCAGUUGCUACCAUUUAGUUGAGCACUCUGGUGAGACCGCCUCGGAUAACGGGGAGGAAGGCGGGGAUGACGUCAAGUCCUCAUGGCCUUUAUGUCCAGGGCUACACACGUGCUACAAUGGCGGUGACAGUGGGCAGCUACUUCGCGAGAAGCGGCUAAUCCCAAAAAACCGUCCCAGUUCAGAUUGUACUCUGCAACUCGAGUACAUGAAGGUGGAAUCGCUAGUAAUCGCAGAACAGCAGGCUGCGGUGAAUACGUUCCCGGGC
rnacentral:rRNA from 1 species